rnacentral:lncRNA from 1 species
CAAUCAACAUCAGAAUGACCACUCAAACACCAAUUAUUUUUCUGAAAGCAUAAGGAGUAAUAUGCAGUUUCUUUGAGAUAUCUCAAAAUCUUUUUGACUGCUUUCAAUGCAACUUUUAGGGACUAGCUUGAUAGUAGCUCAUCAAUCCAUGGCAUAACAAAUAUUGGGCCAUGUACACAUAAUGGCAUACAUCAGAUAGCCAAUAGCGAAGGAGUAAGGAACAUUUCUUUCCUCUCUUUUGGAAUUUUAGGA